UUUUUAAUAUGUCCACCCACAGGGAGAGUUAGAUCACGCUGCGUCCAUUCCACUGAAUCAUGUAAGCAGCUCGGAAGGGGAAGGGUGCUCUGUGUGUGCCGGUAUGGAAAGAGCUCUAAAAUGUGUAAGAAAAAUCAAGGGGCAGAAUCGUGUGUAACGUGUGCUACUCAUUUGUGCAUGGGGACAGAGAAAAUCUGUAAGUUUGUUUCCAAAGUUGAAAGGGACGUGUUAGCAGGGACUGCCUUAAAAGAUGUCCAAGUGCAGAGGGCUGGAGAGAAACUGCCUUUUCACCGUAUACUUUUUUUUAUUCCUAUUGAAAUUUGUACAGGAAACAUACGCUAUCGAAAAUAAACAUCAGGGGCGCUGGGUGGCUCAGUCGGGGAACCUCCGACUCUUGAUUUCUGUGCUGACAGUGCAGAGCCUGCUUGGGAAUCUUUCUCCUUCUCUCUCUCUGCCCCUUCUCGGCUCGCUCUCUCAAAAAAAAAAAAAAAAAAAAAAAAUUCUUUUUAAAUGGCAUUAAAGAAAUGCCUUUGAGAAGUAAAAUAGCAGGCCUUUGAAUCAGAUUCAUUUUCUGUUCAGGAUCUCCGUGGGUCACACCUGACCUUGAUCUUGUUUGAAAGUUGUCUGAAUAGGCAGCACUGCCAUCCCAGAAUAACACAGGAAGGUCGGUUAUGUUCAGCUGGUGGUUCAAGGUGAAGGAAUAAAUGAAUGAGCUGAGAAAAAACAAGAGGGUUGAUUAUUAAUAGCGCUAUGAUUAUUAGCGCCAAAAAGAAAACCGCAGGCCCAAGGUGGAGUCACUUGCCUCCAGUCCUGCAAACCAAGACUUAAUUGCAGUUUCAAACUUACCGGGAGUGGAAUUUGAAGCCAGCCAAUCUGGAAUUUUCUGGCCAGUAUCAGUGAGGUAAUAGGUUACCUGGGCCCUUUCCAGUCCACCCCGGCCCCCAAAGGAGAUGACCUAAUGUGCGUGGUAAGACCCCUUGCCCUUCCCAAGGUGACCUUGCCUGAAAGCAUCUUUUCUUUUGCAAAUAACUUCUUGCUUCCCUCUUUUCUAUAAAAACGUUCCUGCCGGGAGCCGAUCCGUCCAGCCUUCCUGAUGGCACAGCCCGGGUGGUUGGCGGAAGGGCAACACACGGCGCCCCUCCGAAUGGGAAGCUACUGGUAUCCCUCCUGUUACUCAUCACGGCCAUCCCCAUGGUCCAACUGGCAUUGAUGAUUCAAAAUAAACCCAUGGGGCAAACUCGGGGAUAUUUUCUGGGGAUGACCCCCAGGACAAAAAAGCAACCUUUUAUCCAGCCGGUGCCAUCCCCGCUUGCCCGUCCCCUAAAGGAAAGAUAGCCCCAUAUGUUUCCCAGCCAGGGAGAGGGGCAAAUGGGUUCGAGAGCCCCACUCCGGCCACAAAGGAAUGUAUCUAUGGAUACAAGUUACUCCAGCCCCUAGGCCCACUCGGCCCCCAGGGGGCAUUCCAGAUGGUAACUGGACCUGGUGGGUUAAGGUACAGAAUGGUCCAUUAGUUCCCAGGUAUACAUUGUCUCUCUGGGAGCGCAUAAGGCGUGGGUUCCCAGGGCCCUCUUGGCUCUUUCCCGGCACCCCAGACCAAAGCGAAUACUUUUGUUCCUUGUACCGCAAAUUGUUCAAAGGAACAAUUGAACAAUUAAGAAGUCCUGUCCCUGUCAAUGUUCCACUUGAGGUGUUGAGAGCUGGAUGGCCUUUCAUGAAAAUAGCAGAGCAAACGCUUUAUAAACUAUAAGUAAACGUAGAUACAUAAUGAAAGUAGUAUGAAGAAAUUAAUAAGCAAAGGGGAGGAGGGAAUGUUACAAAGAAAUAACCAUGAGGUUCCUUAAUGGGUGAUGACACAAAGGAGCAUUUUUAGAAUUAGGUAAAGCCAAGAAACAUAGAUGAUGCACGCCACAAGGGAUAAUGCACGUAAUGCCACGCUUGCCACAAUAAAGCGGCCUGUCUAACACACUGCUGUCGUCUGUGUGCAUUUGUUAUUUUUGCCGACACCGUUCAUCCUUCGGGAUCCCCUGGACCUGCUGGGGCUGGACUCCGGCACCUUCCAUUUUGACGUUUAUUUAUUUUUGAGACAGAGACAGAGCAUGAACGGGGGAGGGGCAGAGAGAGAGGGAGACACAGAACCGGAAGCAGGCUCCAGGCUCCGAGCUGUCAGCACAGAGCCCGACGCGGGGCUCGAACUCACGGACCGCGAGAUUGUGACCCGAGCUGAAGUCAGAUGCUUAACCGACUGAGCCACCCAGGUGCCCCAUUUUGGACAACUCCUUGGAGCACAUCUCUCCUGGCCGGAUGGAAUGCUGCCCAAUUCACGAAUCGCUUAAUAAAGCCAAGUAGAUCUUUAAAUUUUACCUCUUGAGUUUUGUUUUUUAAUGCUCACUACCGUGUGUUAACCGCUAGGCACUUUUCCUACGUUAGUUCUUACAACCCAGAGGGGUGGGAGCAGCGUAAAGAAACUGAAUGGCUUCUUGAAUAAAACCGAGGUGCUUCUGCAGCGUUCGUGGGAAGGGUCCCUCCCCAAUACCCAGUGUGAGAAGAGGCUCCUGGUUCUCACAAUGGCUCAGUCUUAUCUCCUAGUAUUUUCUUUUCCUCAGGAGCGGUGGAUCAGAAGAAUCCUCUGCAGAUUCCUAGACCCCGCAAGCUUAGAGCUUCAGGAGAUCUGGAGGGGAGCCUCUGAAAGCUGGUCAGUGACAGCGCGUGGAGAAACACGACUGAGGGCUCCUGUCCCCAGUUCCUGGUGUCACCACCAGGCCAGCUUCUGAACAUUCUGCUUGCCACAGUUGGGCCACACUUGGAUCUUCGAGGCUUCUGUUAAGUUCCCACUGCGUGGAAGGUUUUCUUCUGGAAAUGGGGAUAAUGAGGACCAUGUUGUCCAUCGGGGACAGCUAUUGUGAUGACAAGAGGCAAUUUCCGAGGAGUACUUGGGGGCAAAGACAUCUUCAAGAAUUCUUCCUUGGCCGUCGGCUCCGGACCCCACCAUCACCCCAAAGCCCCAUCAGUACUGUUCCUCCAGAAGUCACAAAGAAAUGGCUUCACGGGCAAGAAAUCUUCAUUUUGCUUGGCAGUUCAGGAGUUUCCUAGGCAUAAACGGUAAAGGAUAUCAUUUAUGAUAAAGGAUAAAGACAUAAAGGAUAAAGGAAAUAGAGGCAUCACUAGUUUGCAUUCUAUACUGAAAUUGGAGCCACAACCCUCACUAAACACUAGACACUAAACCCAACCCCUGCAAGGCGAGAGGGAACUGGGUAAUCACAGGAUGCCAAACUGUCACCCACGGAUCGCCCACUGCUGGUCACAGGGAAGAAG